rnacentral:rRNA from 1 species
AGGUAGCUUGCUACCUGACCUAGCGGCGGACGGGUGAGUAAUGCUUAGGAAUCUGCCUAUUAGUGGGGGACAACAUUCCGAAAGGAAUGCUAAUACCGCAUACGCCCUACGGGGGAAAGCAGGGGAUCUUCGGACCUUGCGCUAAUAGAUGAGCCUAAGUCAGAUUAGCUGGUUGGUGGGGUAAAGGCCUACCAAGGCGACGAUCUGUAGCGGGUCUGAGAGGAUGAUCCGCCACACUGGGACUGAGACACGGCCCAGACUCCUACGGGAGGCAGCAGUGGGGAAUAUUGGACAAUGGGCGAAAGCCUGAUCCAGCCAUGCCGCGUGUGUGAAGAAGGCCUUUUGGUUGUAAAGCACUUUAAGCGAGGAGGAGGCUACUUGGAUUAAUACUCUAGGAUAGUGGACGUUACUCGCAGAAUAAGCACCGGCUAACUCUGUGCCAGCAGCCGCGGUAAUACAGAGGGUGCGAGCGUUAAUCGGAUUUACUGGGCGUAAAGCGUGCGUAGGCGGCUUCUUAAGUCGGAUGUGAAAUCCCUGAGCUUAACUUAGGAAUUGCAUUCGAUACUGGGAAGCUAGAGUAUGGGAGAGGAUGGUAGAAUUCCAGGUGUAGCGGUGAAAUGCGUAGAGAUCUGGAGGAAUACCGAUGGCGAAGGCAGCCAUCUGGCCUAAUACUGACGCUGAGGUACGAAAGCAUGGGGAGCAAACAGGAUUAGAUACCCUGGUAGUCCAUGCCGUAAACGAUGUCUACUAGCCGUUGGGGCCUUUGAGGCUUUAGUGGCGCAGCUAACGCGAUAAGUAGACCGCCUGGGGAGUACGGUCGCAAGACUAAAACUCAAAUGAAUUGACGGGGGCCCGCACAAGCGGUGGAGCAUGUGGUUUAAUUCGAUGCAACGCGAAGGACCUUACCUGGUCUUGACAUAGUAAGAACUUUCCAGAGAUGGAUUGGUGCCUUCGGGAACUUACAUACAGGUGCUGCAUGGCUGUCGUCAGCUCGUGUCGUGAGAUGUUGGGUUAAGUCCCGCAACGAGCGCAACCCUUUUCCUUAUUUGCCAGCGAGUAAUGUCGGGAACUUUAAGGAUACUGCCAGUGACAAACUGGAGGAAGGCGGGGACGACGUCAAGUCAUCAUGGCCCUUACGACCAGGGCUACACACGUGCUACAAUGGUCGGUACAAAGGGUUGCUACCUAGCGAUAGGAUGCUAAUCUCAAAAAGCCGAUCGUAGUCCGGAUUGGAGUCUGCAACUCGACUCCAUGA